rnacentral:rRNA from 1 species
GUGGGGAAUUUUGGACAAUGGGCGCAAGCCUGAUCCAGCAAUGCCGCGUGCAGGAAGAAGGCCUUCGGGUUGUAAACUGCUUUUGUACGGGAAGAAACACUCCCUCGUGAGGGAGCUUGACGGUACCGUAAGAAUAAGGAUCGGCUAACUCCGUGCCAGCAGCCGCGGUAAUACGGAGGAUCCAAGCGUUAUCCGGAAUCAUUGGGUUUAAAGGGUCCGAAGGCGGUUUAAUAAGUCAGUGGUGAAAGCCCAUCGCUCAACGAUGGAACGGCCAUUGAUACUGUUAGACUUGAAUUACAAGGAAGUAACUAGAAUAUGUAGUGUAGCGGUGAAAUGCUUAGAUAUUACAUGGAAUACCAAUUGCGAAGGCAGGUUACUACUUGUGGAUUGACGCUGAUGGACGAAAGCGUGGGGAGCGAACAGGAUUAGAAACCCGUGUAGUCC